rnacentral:tRNA from 1 species
ACUCUUUUAGUUUAUAAAAAAUAUGACUUUGAAGCAGUUAAGAAUCAUAGAGUA